GCCGUCGUGGCGCAAUGGUAGCGCAUCGCCUUCCUACUGGUGUAAGAGGCGGGGGUUGCGGGUUCGAUCCCCGUCGGCGGUA
rnacentral:tRNA from 1 species